rnacentral:snoRNA from 1 species
AAUCAAUGAUGAAACCUAUCCCGAAGCUGAUUGCCUGAAGAAAAGCAUAUACGGAUUCAGCUUCUGAAAU